GACGAACGCUGGCGGCGUGCCUAAUACAUGCAAGUCGAGCGCAGGAAACUGACGGAACUCUUCGGAGGGAAGGCAGUGGAAUGAGCGGCGGACGGGUGAGUAACACGUAAGGAACCUGCCUCAAGGAUUGGGAUAACUCCGAGAAAUCGGAGCUAAUACCGGAUAGUUCAACGGACCGCAUGGUCCGCUGAUGAAAGGCGCUCCGGCGUCACCUUGAGAUGGCCUUGCGGUGCAUUAGCUAGUUGGUGGGGUAACGGCUCACCAAGGCGACGAUGCAUAGCCGACCUGAGAGGGUGAUCGGCCACACUGGGACUGAGACACGGCCCAGACUCCUACGGGAGGCAGCAGUAGGGAAUCUUCCACAAUGGACGAAAGUCUGAUGGAGCAGCGCCGCGUGAGUGAUGAAGGUUUUCGGAUCGUAAAACUCUGUUGUAAGGGAAGAACACGUACGAGAGGAAAUGCUCGUACCUUGACGGUACCUUACGAGAAAGCCACGGCUAACUACGUGCCAGCCGCCGCAGUAAAAC
rnacentral:rRNA from 1 species